GGUCUCCUGUUUCUUACCACAGGCUGUGCUUCUAUCCUGUAUAGAAAGAGGAGGCAGAGUAAACCUACCAUACACACCUCAGCCACUGUGCCGGGCGUGUGUGUGUGCGUGCCCAAGA
ensembl:snoRNA